GUGUCAGCAGCCGCGGUAAUACGGAGGGUGCAAGCAUUAAUCGGAUUUAUUGGGCGUAAAGGGCGCGUAGGCGGAAAGACAAGUCAGAUGUGAAAUCCUGGGGCUCAACCUCAGAACUGCAUUUGAAACUGUCUAUCUAGAGGGUAGGAGGAGAAAACGGAAUUCCACAAGUAGCGGUGAAAUGCGUAGAUAUGUGGAAGAACACCGGUGGCGAAGGCGGUUUUCUAUCUUAUUCCUGACGCUGAGGCGCGAAAGCAAGGGGAUCAAACAGGAUUAGAUACCCUGGUAGUCCUUGCCGUAAACUAUGUAUACUUGGUGUAACUGGACUCAACCCUAGUUGUGCCGAAGCUAACGCGUUAAGUAUACCGCCUGGGAAGUACAGUCGCAAGGCUGAA
rnacentral:rRNA from 1 species